AAGAGAGGAAAACCAGAUUAAAGCAACAGUUUUUGAAUGGCUCCACCAAUUUCUAACUCUACCCAUCACCACUAUUCCUUUGCUUCUUCUUCUUAGCUUCCCUUCUUAAAAUAGCAGCUUGAAUGAAGAAAAAAUAAAAACAUUGGCAUUGC